rnacentral:rRNA from 1 species
AUUGAACGCUGGCGGCAUGCUUUACACAUGCAAGUCGAACGGUAACAGGCCGCAAGGUGCUGACGAGUGGCGAACGGGUGAGUAAUGCAUCGGAACGUGCCCAGUCGUGGGGGAUAACGCAGCGAAAGCUGUGCUAAUACCGCAUACGAUCUGUGGAUGAAAGCGGGGGACCGAAAGGCCUCGAGCGAUUGGAGCGGCCGAUGUCAGAUUAGGUAGUUGGUGGGGUAAAGGCUCACCAAGCCAACGAUCUGUAGCUGGUCUGGGAGGACGACCAGCCACACUGGGACUGAGACACGGCCCAGACUCCUACGGGAGGCAGCAGUGGGGAAUUUUGGACAAUGGGCGCAAGCCUGAUCCAGCAAUGCCGCGUGCAGGAAGAAGGCCUUCGGGUUGUAAACUGCUUUUGUACGGAGCGAAAAGGCUCUCUCUAAUACAGGGGGCUCAUGACGGUACCGUAAGAAUAAGCACCGGCUAACUACGUGCCAGCAGCCGCCGUAACAC